ensembl:lncRNA
CGCCGACACAUUUUGCCUAUUGGGAAUUUACAGGUUCACAAUCCUGCUCUUUGAUAUUUUGUUUAUCAUCAUUUUUAUAUCAACUUAACUUCAUAAAAAAAAUGCAUUAUUGGUGUGCUCCUGAUAGCAACCUUUGAAAUGGGACGGGUGGGCCAACUGGGCCGCUGUCUUAAAGGAAUGCGCAGAUCCUUUGAGCUCUGCAACUGCUGCAGCCGCGGGCCAAAAAAAAGAGAAGAAAUCGAUUGAUUUUUCGAUUUAUGCCUCCUACAAGUCGACUCACAGAAAACGAGUCGUUUAACAUCCCUACUCUCAACACACACACACACACACACACACACACACACACGCACAUGUUCAUUCACGUUCACACACUACAACCUGCCGACAACAUCAAGUAAGCGAUGCCACAGCGCGUUGACAAGUCCGUCCCGAGUCUCGAGGCGCCCAUAAGCUUUAUGGUUUAUAUGUUUGAAAGCCGUGACACACUCUUUAACCAGUUGGCCUGAAAUACCACGCCUCGCAGUCAUGGACCUAUAAAGAAAGUCGUAGUCGUACCUUGCUUGUUUACCGCAACAUUGAGAAGGGUCCCGUCUGAAACAGAGUCGCGCAGCGCUGCGUUCCGAACGUUGUGUAAUCAAAUACACUGGUAUGGCGGUAGGCUAUAUAAAAAAAUCAUAUCCUAACGAAAAUACACACCGUUAUUCGGUGAGAACCGGUAUAGCGCCCAGCACUAACGCAAGUUGACGCCGCAACACCAUGGGGGCGGGGCAGGGGGCGUUAAAAAACGUCAGGCAACGUUAUGAGGAACCGAAAUGUGCGUUCUUAUUCGAUCUCGUUACAACCGUUUAUGUCGGAACCGGUUCCCUACUGGAACCGAGUUUCGGUGCUCAACCCUACUAAGGACACAGUAUGAGGUAUAAGUUUGACUAAAUCAAUACCAGCGAAAUUAUUUAAGCUAAAAGUCCACUGUAAACACAGUAAACGACACAUAUAGACCCACACACAGCUACUAAAGAUAACAUUUUUAUUUGUUUUUCACUCACCGUUUGACUUCUUUACAGGAAAAGUAUUAGUCCUUGUAUAACGUGCGCUUCAUAAAUUCACCUCUUGUGACUGGUCAAGCCCACAGCAACAGUCUGGCUUGGUGAAGUGCAGUGCUGGAAGUUAGCCUACAUCGUCUUUUAUUUUUGGUUUCAUAAUCACACAUGUGGAAUUGCGCCUUGGCCUAUUCGGCAUAUUGAACCGUCGGCCUAAUGCGCCUCCUUUUUGAAAAGUCGGACAAACGGACCUUCGGACCAAUGGGUUCCGUUUUUG